ACCAUACUGUGAUCUUAUUUCUUCUUUCAAAAAACAAAAAAAUCUUUAUUAAAGAAAGGGGGACUUGAUUGAAGUUGAAUGGUAACCAAUUGAAGAACAUUAUAUUUUGAACCAAAGAAUCCAGGAUGAAAACUUUCUUGAUAACCCAAUUUUAUUCAGUUUUUGGCUGCUAGCCCUAAAGCAUAAUCAUUCAACAAAAUCUUUAUAAAUGAAGUUCAGUUAUACUAGUGAAAAAGAGAUGUGAUAUUAUGAUUUGGUUUUAUUUUAG
rnacentral:misc_RNA from 1 species